rnacentral:rRNA from 1 species
CCUACGGGUGGCAGCAGUGAGGAAUAUUGGUCAAUGGGCGGGAGCCUGAACCAGCCAAGUCGCGUGAGGGAAGACGGUCCUAUGGAUUGUAAACCUCUUUAGGCGGGGAGCAAUGCCGGGCACGCGUGCCCGGAGGGAGUGUACCCGCAGAAUAAGCAUCGUCUCACUCCGUGCCAGCCGCCGCGGUAAUACGGAGGAUGCGAGUGUUAUCCGGAUUUAUUGGGUUUAAAGGGUGCGUAGGCGGAUUUUUAAGUCAGCGGUAAACUGGCCGGGCUCAACCCGGGCCGGCCGUUGAAACUGGGGGUCUUGAGUGGGCGAGAAGUAUGCGGAAUGCGUGGUGUAGCGGUGAAAUGCAUAGAUAUCGCGCAGAACUCCGAUUGCGAAGGCAGCAUGCCGGCGCCCGACUGACGCUGAGGCACGAAAGCGUGGGGAUCGAACAGGAUUAGAUACCCCUGUAGUC